rnacentral:rRNA from 1 species
CCUACGGGAGGCAGCAGUAAGGAAUAUUGGUCAAUGGAGGCAACUCUGAACCAGCCAUGCCGCGUGCAGGAUGACGGCCCUAUGGGUUGUAAACUGCUUUUAUACAAGAGAAAACCCUGGUACGUGUACCAGGUUGAUAGUAUUGUAAGAAUAAGCAUCGGCUAACUUCGUGCCAGCAGCCGCGGUAAGACGAAGGAUGCAAGCGUUAUCCGGAUUCAUUGGGUUUAAAGGGUGCGUAGGCGGACUGAUAAGUCAGUGGUGAAAUCUCUUUGCUUAACAAAGAAACUGCCAUUGAUACUGUCGGUCUAGAGUAUAGAUGACGUUGGCGGAAUAUGACAUGUAGUGGUGAAAUACUUAGAUAUGUCAUAGAACACCGAUUGCGAAGGCAGCUAACGAAACUAUAACUGACGCUGAGGCACGAAAGUGCGGGGAUCAAACAGGAUUAGAUACCCUGGUAGUCCGCACCGUAAACGAUGAUUACUCGUUGUUGGUCGAUAUGACAGUCAGCGACCAAGCGAAAGCGAUAAGUAAUCCACCUGGGGAGUACGCCGGCAACGGUGAACGUCAAAGGAUUGACGG